AUUGAACGCUGGCGGCAUGCCUAACACAUGCAAGUCGAACGAGUGGCGGACGGGUGAGUAAUGUCUGGGAAACUGCCUGAUGGAGGGGGAAAACUACUGGAAACGGUAGCUAAUACCGCAUACCAUCGGAUGUGCCCAGAUGGGAUUAGCUUGUAGGUGGGGUAAAGGCUCACCUAGGCGACGAUACCUAGCUGGCCUGAGAGGAUGACCGGCAACACUGGAACGGAGACAGGGUCCAGACGCCAACGGGAGGCAGCAGGGGGGAAUAUUGGACAAUGGGCGCAAGCCUGAUGCAGCCAUGCCGCGUGUAUGAAGCAGGCCUUCGGGUUUUAAAGUACGUUCAGCGGGGAGGCGUUACCCGCAGAAGAAGCACCGGCUAACUCCGUGCCAGCAGCCGCGGUAAUUC
rnacentral:rRNA from 1 species